GGACUACUGGGGUAUCUAAUCCCAUUCGCUCCCCACGCUUUCGUCCUAGCAGUGUCAGGUGGCACCCAGAAGCCUGCCUUCGCUAUUGGUGUUCCAAGCGAUAUCAACGCAUUUCACUACUACACCGCUUGUUCCAGCUUCCUCUUUGCCCCUCUAGCCUGAAAGUUCCAAAGGACAGUCCCAAAGUUGAGCCUUGGGAUUUCACCUCUGGCUUUUCAAACCACCGAUCGGUACGCUUUACGCCCAAUGAUUCCGGAUAACGCUUGAGGUCUCUGUAUUACCGCGGCUGCUGGCAC
rnacentral:rRNA from 1 species